ACUCCUACGGGAGGCAGCAGUAGGGAAUCUUCGGCAAUGGACGAAAGUCUGACCGAGCAAUGAGUCGUGGAGGUAGAAGGUUUUCGGAUCGUAAACUUCUGUUGUUAGAGAAGAACAAGGAUGAGAGUAACUGUUCAUCCCUUGACGGUAUCUAACCAGAAAGCCACGGCUAACUCUGUGCCAGCAGCCGCGGUAAUAAU
rnacentral:rRNA from 1 species